UACGAAGGGGGCUAGCGUUGUUCGGAAUUACUGGGCGUAAAGCGCGCGUAGGCGGUGAUCUUUGUCAGAGGUGAAAGCCCGGGGCUCAACUCCGGAAUUGCCUUUGAAACGGGAUCGCUUGAGUCCGAGAGAGGAUGGCGGAAUUCCUAGUGUAGAGGUGAAAUUCGUAGAUAUUAGGAAGAACACCGGUGGCGAAGGCGGCCAUCUGGCUCGGUACUGACGCUCAGGCGCGAAAGCGUGGGGAGCAAACAGGGAUUAAAAAACCCU
rnacentral:rRNA from 1 species